rnacentral:rRNA from 1 species
AUUGAACGCUAGCGGGAUGCUUUACACAUGCAAGUCGAACGGCAGCGCGGACUUCGGUCUGGCGGCGAGUGGCGAACGGGUGAGUAAUGUAUCGGAACGUGCCCAGUAGCGGGGGAUAACUACGCGAAAGCGUAGCUAAUACCGCAUACGCCCUACGGGGGAAAGCAGGGGAUCGUAAGACCUUGCACUAUUGGAGCGGCCGAUAUCGGAUUAGCUAGUUGGUGAGGUAACGGCUCACCAAGGCGACGAUCCGUAGCUGGUUUGAGAGGACGACCAGCCACACUGGGACUGAGACAGGCCCAGACUCCUACGGGAGGCAGCAGUGGGGAAUUUUGGACAAUGGGGGCAACCCUGAUCCAGCCAUCCCGCGUGUGCGAUGAAGGCCUUCGGGUUGUAAAGCACUUUUGGCAGGAAAGAAACGUCGCGGGCUAAUACCCCGUGGAACUGACGGUACCUGCAGAAUAAGCACCGGCUAACUACGUG